rnacentral:rRNA from 1 species
GACGAACGCUGGAGGCGUGCUUAACACAUGCAAGUCGAACGAUGAAAUGGAGCUUGCUCCAUGGAUUAGUGGCGAACGGGUGAGUAACACGUGAAUAACCUGCCCUUAAUUUUGGAAUAACCCAGGGAAACCUGGGCUAAUACCGGAUAAGUAAACCUGUGGCAUCACAUGGUUUUGGAAAGUUUUUCGAUUAAGGAUGGAUUCGCGGCCUAUCAGCUUGUUGGUGAGGUAAUGGCUCACCAAGGCGACGACGGGUAGCCGGCCUGAGAGGGUGAACGGCCAGACGGGGACUGAGACACGGCCCAGACUCCUACGGGAGGCAGCAGUGGGGAAUAUUGCGCAAUGGACGAAAGUCUGACGCAGCGACGCCUCGUGAGGGACGAAGGUCUUCGGAUUGUAAACCUCUUUCAGCAGGGACGAAGCGAAAGUGACGGUACCUGCAGAAGAAGCACCGGCUAACUAUGUGCCAGCCGCCGCAGUAAAAC